AUGCUUACCUGGCAAGGGAGAUGCCAUGAUCACAAAGGUGUUUUCCCAGGGCUUAUCCAUUAUCCUCCAGAUGCUGACCCCUGCCGAGUCCCCAAUAUAUGUAUAUAUAUUGUAUAAUGUAUAAUUAGUGGUAAUCGAGGACUGCAUUUGAGCUCUCCCCUA